rnacentral:rRNA from 1 species
UACAGAGGUCUCGAGCGUUGUUCGGAUUCAUUGGGCGUAAAGGGCGCGUAGGCGGCGGGGUAAGUCUGGUGUGAAAUCUAGGAGCUCAACUCCUAAACUGCACUGGAUACUGCUCUGCUAGAGGACUGGAGAGGAGACUGGAAUUCACGGUGUAGCAGUGAAAUGCGUAGAUAUCGUGAGGAAGACCAGUGGCGAAGGCGGGUCUCUGGACAGUUCCUGACGCUGAGGCGCGAAGGCCAGGGGAGCAAAGCGGG